rnacentral:lncRNA from 1 species
GCUGAGAUUUCCCCAUCUCUUCACUAUAAUUUCCUCUGAAUCCUGAAACAUCUCUAUAAUGAAUGGCUCCUUUAUUACAUACCAGACAUUGUGAAUCAUGUGUUGUAGAGUGUCUGGAUUAUGUUUUUUCUUUUUUUUUUUUUAAAGAGCAGUGGGCCAGGCGCGGUGGUUCACACCUCUAAUCCUAGUACUUUGGGAGGCUGAGACGGGAGGAUUGCUUGAGCCCAGAAGUUCAAACCCAGACUGAGCAACAUGGCAAGAUCCCAUCUCUACAAAAAAAAAAAAAAAAAAAGCCAGGCGUGGUGGCACACGUCCCCUAGCAAUUCAGGAGGCUGAGGCAGGAGGAUUGCUUGAGCCUGGGAGAUCGAGGCUGCAGUGAGCUAUGAUCACAGCACUGCAUUCCAGUCUGGAAGACAUCAAGACUCUGUUUCAAUAAACAAAACAGAAUAAAAAAUAGUGUUGACUUUUGUUCUGGAAAGCUGUUAAUGCACUGCCAACUUCUUUGUUCCUGUUAAGGCUUGUCUUAAAGCUUUGUUGAGGCAGAUCUAGACUGGUCUUUAAUCUAGGACAUCCUUUCUCCAAUGGGAUUUCUCAUCUGAUUUACAGAAAAUAAUUUGAAUUACUAUUAUAUUUUAUUAUUUUAUUCUUUUUCCAGAACAGUCUCAUGGUAGGCAUGAGUUAUUAUUUUCUAAGUUCUCUAAGGAUGGUUAUACUAAUACUAUACUAUUAAUAGAUAAGUGAGAGAAGGGAAUGCAUUGCAUACAGUGGCUGCUUUAAUGCAUUAGUACUUAAUUCUCAUGCUACAUCCCUGGUAGAGAAAGGCUACUCUAGGGUAUCGUUUUUAUCUCUAAUGGUGAUCUUUCUGGUGUCUGAGGUGAAUGUAUUUGGGUAUUAAUGAGGUCUUUCCAUUAGGAUGCACCUGAACUCUAUUGUCAUAUGGUGUUUUAUGACUUUUAGCAUCUUCCUUCUGCCUUCAUUCCUUUAGCAGCUGUUCUCUUUUAAGCCUUAUAUUCUGGACAUAUGCAACCCAUACUUAGGCCAAGG